rnacentral:tRNA from 1 species
ACCUGGCUGGCUCAGUUGGUAGAGCAUGUGACUCUUGAUCUUGGGGUUGUGAGUUUGAGCCUCAUGUUGGGUG